rnacentral:rRNA from 2 species
GUUAUAGGGUCAAGCGAACAAGUGCAUGUGGUGGAUGCCUUGGCGAUCACAGGCGAUGAAGGACGCGGUAGCCUGCGAAAAGCUACGGGGAGCUGGCAAACAAGCUUUGAUCCGUAGAUGUCCGAAUGGGGAAACCCACUCCUUUUGGAGUAUCCAUGGCUGAAUACAUAGGCCAUGCGAAGCGAACGCGGUGAACUGAAACAUCUAAGUAACCGCAGGAAAAGAAAUCAACCGAGAUUCCCAAAGUAGUGGCGAGCGAAAUGGGAUGAGCCUUGCACUCUUUAUUUGUAUUGUUAGCCGAACGCUCUGGAAAGUGCGGCCAUAGCAGGUGAUAGCCCUGUAGGCGAAAACAGUAUGAAAGAACUAGGUGUGCGACAAGUAGGGCGGGACACGUGAAAUCCUGUCUGAAGAUGGGGGGACCAUCCUCCAAGGCUAAAUACUCGUGAUCGACCGAUAGUGAACCAGUACCGUGAGGGAAAGGCGAAAAGAACCCCGGGAGGGAGUGAAAUAGAUCCUGAAACCGCAUGCAUACAAACAGUCGGAGCCUCGUAAGGGGUGACGGCGUACCUUUUGUAUAAUGGGUCAGCGACUUACGUUCAGUAGCAAGCUUAACCGUAUAGGGCAGGCGUAGCGAAAGCGAGUCCGAAUAGGGCGUUCAGUUGCUGGGCGUAGACCCGAAACCAGGUGAUCUAUCCAUGCCAGGAUGAAGGUGCGGUAACACGUACUGGAGGUCCGAACCCACUAACGUUGAAAAGUUAGGGGAUGAGCUGUGGAUAGGGGGUGAAAAGGCUAAACAAACCUGGAAAUAGCUGGUUCUCUCCGAAAACUAUUUAGGUAGUGCCUCGUGUCUCACCUUCGGGGUAGAGCACUGUCAUGGUUGGGGGUCUAUUGCAGAUUACCCGCCAUAGCAAACUCCGAAUACCGAAGAGUGCAAUCACGGGAGACAGACAUCGGGUGCUAACGUCCGGUGUCAAGAGGAAACAACCCAGACCGCCAGCUAAGGUCCC